AAAAGUGGAGAGGAGAAAUGCAGUCGAUGAAUCCAGACCACAUCCGGAGCGCUUUUGAGCUUCUCCCUGCGCUCAAGGACGUGCUGUAUGAAAUACAACAUGGCACCUCCGCCAAAGAGUCGGUCAG
rnacentral:rRNA from 1 species